ACAGGUGUGUCUGCAGGGAGGACUUCUCAAGCUCCAGGGCUGGAUGCUUGGCCCCAACCCAGCUCCCAUGGCAGGGGUCCUCCAAAAGGGAAGACCCAAGAUACUGCAGCCCAAAUGUCUCAUGAGGCAGAUGAAUUCCUGAGAGAAACACAGAGGGAAGCACCCGGAGGACAAGUGAUGGACCAAAAGGCUGUUCAGGAGGAGGAACACUCAGGGAGAAGCAGUGGCUCAUUGGCAGCCCCUGCUGCAGGAAGGAAGGCGAUGCCAGACACGGGCACA